UGGGGAAUAUUGCACAAUGGGCGCAAGCCUGAUGCAGCCAUGCCGCGUGGGGGAUGAAGGCUUUCGGGUUGUAAACCUCUUUCGCUAUCGAACAAGGCCCGCUUAGGGUGGGUUGAGGGUAGGUGGAGAAGAAGCGCCGGCUAACUCCGUGCCAGCAGCCGCGGUAAUACGGAGGGUGCAAGCGUUAAUCGGAAUUACUGGGCGUAAAGCGCACGCAGGCGGUUGAUUGAGUCAGAUGUGAAAUCCCCGGGCUUAACCCGGGAAUUGCAUCUGAUACUGGUCAGCUAGAGUCUUGUAGAGGGGGGUAGAAUUCCAUGUGUAGCGGUGAAAUGCGUAGAGAUGUGGAGGAAUACCGGUGGCGAAGGCGGCCCCCUGGACAAAGACUGACGCUCAGGUGCGAAAGCGUGGGGAGCAAACAGG
rnacentral:rRNA from 1 species